UACGGAGGAUGCAAGCGUUAUCCGGAAUGAUUGGGCGUAAAGCGUCCGCAGGUGGCUGUGUAAGUCUGCUGUUAAAGAGUGAGGCUCAACCUCAUAAAGGCAGUGGAAACUACAUGGCUAGAGUGCGUUCGGGGCAGAGGGAAUUCCUGGUGUAGCGGUGAAAUACGUAGAUAUCUGGAGGAACACCGGUGGCGAAGGCGGCUACCUGGCCCAACAUUGACGCUGAGACCCGAAAGCAUGGGGAUCAAACAGG
rnacentral:rRNA from 1 species